rnacentral:rRNA from 1 species
CUAUCGAUGAGCCUAGGUCGGAUUAGCUAGUAGGUGAGGUAAUGGCUCACCAGGCGACGAUCCGUAACUGGUCUGAGAGGAUGAUCAGUACACUGGAACUGAGACACGGUCCAGACUCCUCGGGAGGCAGCAGUGGGGAAUAUUGGACAAUGGGGAAAGCCUGAUCCAGCCAUGCCGCGUGUGUGAAGAAGGUCUUCGGAUUGUAAAGCACUUUAAGUUGGGAGGAAGGGUUGUACGUUAAUACCGUGCAAUUUUACCGACAGAAUAAGCACCGGCUAACUCUGUGCCAGCAGCCGCGGUAAUACAAAUUACUGGGCGUAAAGCGCGCGUAGGUGGUUUGUUAAGUUGGAUGUGAAAGCACUGCAUCCAAAACUGGCAAGCUAGAGUACGGUAGAGGGUGGUGGAAUUUCCUGUGUAGCGGUGAAAUGCGGAACACCAGUGGCGAAGGCGACCACCUGGACUGAUACUGACACUGAGGUGCGAAAGGAGCAAACAGGAUUAGAUACCCUGGUAGUCCACGCCGUAACUAGCCGUUGGAAUCCUUGAGAUUUUAGUGGCGCAGCUAACGCAUUAAGUUGACCGCCUGGGGAGUACGGCCGCAAGGUUAAAACUCAAAUGAAUUGACGGGCGGUGGAGCAUGUGGUUUAAUUCGAAGCAACGCGAAGAACCUUACCAGGCCUUGACAUGCAGAGAACUUUCCAGAGAUGGAUUGGUGCCUUCGGGAACUCUGACACAGGUGCUGCAUGGCUGUCGUCAGCUCGUGUCGUGAGAUGUUGGGUUAAGUCCCGCGCAACCCUUGUCCUUAGUUACCAGCACGUUAUGGUGGGCACUCUAAGGAGACUCAAACCGGAGGAAGGUGGGGAUGACGUCAAGUCAUCAUGGCCCUUACGGCCUGGGCUACACACGUGCUACAAUGGUCGGUACAGAGGGUUGCCAAGCCGCGAGGUGGAGCUAAUCUCAUCGUAGUCCGGAUCGCAGUCUGCAACUCGACU